AUAGGAGUGAUGGAAUUGGUAGACAUAUUAGUUUUAGGCACUAAGUUUUAGGGGUUCAAGUCCCCUCUCCGGUA
rnacentral:tRNA from 1 species